rnacentral:misc_RNA from 1 species
GAUGAAGAACGUAGUGAAAUGCGAUAAGUAAUGUGAAUUGCAGAAUUCAGUGAAUCAUCGAAUCUUUGAACGCACAUUGCGCCCGCCAGUAUUCUGGCGGGCAUGCCUGUCUGAGCGUCAUUUCAACCCUCAUGCCCCUAGGGCGUGGUGUUGGGGAUCGGCCAAAGCCCGCGAGGGACGGCCGGCCCCUAAAUCUAGUGGCGGACCCGUCGUGGCCUCCUCUGCGAAGUAGUGAUAUUCCGCAUCGGAGAGCGACGAGCCCCUGCCGUUAAACCCCCAACUUUCCAAGGUUGACCUCAGAUCAGGUAGGAAUACCCGCUGAACUUAAGAAUAUCAAUAAGCGGAGGA